GUACACGCUGUGACUAGCAUAUCAAUAAGCGGAGGAAAAGAAACUAACUAGGAUUCCCUCAGUAACGGCGAGUGAAGCGGGAAGAGCUCAAAUUUGAAAUCUUCAAGGUUCUACCUUGACGAAUUGUAGUUUAAAGAAGUGUUUUCUGUUGGAGUUUUGGUAAAAGUUCUUUGGAAUAGGACAUCAUAGAGGGUGAGAAUCCCGUAUUUGACCAUUAUUUCCAGCUUUGUGAUACACUUUCAAAGAGUCGGAUUGUUUGGGAAUGCAGUCCAAAAUGGGUGGUAAAUUUCAUCUAAAGCUAAAUAUUGGCGAGAGACCGAUAGCGAACAAGUACCGUGAGGGAAAGAUGAAAAGAACUUUGAAAAGAGAGUUAAAUAGUACGUGAAAUUGUCAAAAGGGAAGCGUUUAACACCAGUGUUGUUUUCUGAAAAUCAACCUCUGUUAGCUUUAUGCAUGUUUGUUUAGACCUAAUCAGCUAUCUUUCAUGUUCUAUUGUUUGCAGUGGUGCACUUUUCAGUUUACAGGUCAACAUCAGUUUUUUUUACCGUAAAAAAGUUAAAGAAAGGUAGCUCAUGGCUCCGGUCGUGAGUGUUAUAGUCUUUUUCCUAUGCGGUAGGAGAGACUGAGGUCUGCAGUGUAGGCUAUUUGGCUAGAUACUCAGGUGCUAUGUGAUACCAUUUCAUAAACAACUUGUUGAUUAUGUUUUGUCUAUUGCAUACUCGCUUGUACUAUCAUACCUACGCUUAGGAUGUUGAAGACUCUACAGAGAUA
rnacentral:rRNA from 1 species